rnacentral:rRNA from 1 species
CAGUCGAGCGAAUGGAUUAAGAGCUUGCUCUUAUGAAGUUAGCGGCGGACGGGUGAGUAACACGUGGGUAACCUGCCCAUAAGACUGGGAUAACUCCGGGAAACCGGGGCUAAUACCGGAUAACAUUUUUGAACCGCAUGGUUCGAAAUUGAAAGGCGGCUUCGGCUGUCACUUAUGGAUGGACCCGCGUCGCAUUAGCUAGUUGGUGAGGUAACGGCUCACCAAGGCAACGAUGCGUAGCCGACCUGAGAGGGUGAUCGGCCACACUGGGACUGAGACACGGCCCAGACUCCUACGGGAGGCAGCAGUAGGGAAUCUUCCGCAAUGGACGAAAGUCUGACGGAGCAACGCCGCGUGAGUGAUGAANGCUUUCGGGUCGUAAAACUCUGUUGUUAGGGAAGAAACAGUGCUAGUUGAAAUAGCUGGCACCUUGACGGUACCUAACCAGAAAGCCACGGCUAACUACGUGC